UUUGAAUUUUAGAUAAACAACGAAUAAUUUCGUAGCAUAAAUAUGUCCCAAGCUUAGUUUGGGACAUACUUAUGCUAAAAAACAUUAUUGGUUGUUUAUCUGAGAUUCAGAAUUAAGCAUUUUAUAUUUUAUUUGCUGCCUCUGGCCACCCUACUCUCUUCCUAACACUCUCUCCCUCUCCCAGUUUUGUCCGCCUUCCCUGCCUCCUCUUCUGGGGGAGUUAGAUCGAGUUGUAACAAGAACAUGCCACUGUCUCGCUGGCUGCAGCGUGUGGUCCCCUUACCAGAGUGAGGAUGCGAAGAGAAGGUGGCUGUCUGCAAACCAGGAAGAGAGCCCUCACCAGGAACCCGUCCAGCUGCCACCUUGAACUUGGACUUCCAAGCCUCCAGAACUGUGAGGGAUAAAUGUAUGAUUUUAAAGUCG
rnacentral:lncRNA from 10 species